rnacentral:rRNA from 1 species
UGGGGAAUAUUGCACAAUGGGCGCAAGCCUGAUGCAGCCAUGCCGCGUGUAUGAAGAAGGCCUUCGGUUUGUAAAGUACUUUCAGCGGGGAGGAAGGGAGUAAAGUUAAUACCUUUGCACAUUGACGAUACCCGCAGAAGAAGCAGCGGCUAACCCCGUGCCAGCAGCCGCGGUAAUACGGAGGGUGCAAGCGUUAAUCGGAAUUACUGGGCGUAAAGCGCACGCAGGCGGUUUGUUAAGUCAGAUGUGAAAUCCCCGGGCUCAACCUGGGAACUGCAUCUGAUACUGGCAAGCUUGAGUCUCGUAGAGGGGGGUAGAAUUCCAGGUGUAGCGGUGAAAUGCGUAGAGAUCUGGAGGAAUACCGGUGGCGAAGGCGGCCCCCUGGACGAAGACUGACGCUCAGGUGCGAAAGCGUGGGGAGCAAACAGG